rnacentral:tRNA from 1 species
GCCGACGUAGCUCAGUGGUAGAGCAGCUGAUUCGUAAUCAGCAGGUCGUGGGUUCAAUCCCCACCGUCGGCU